UGGGGAAUCUUGCGCAAAUGCGGGAAACCGUGACGCAGCGACGCCGCGUGGGGGAAGAAGGCCUUCGGGUUGUAAACCUCUUUCAGGAGGGACGAAGCUACUCGGGUUAAUAGCCCAGAGGGUGACGGUACCUCCAGAAGAAGCCCCGGCUAACUACGUGCCAGCAGCCGCGGUAAUACGUAGGGGGCAAGCGUUGUCCGGAUUUAUUGGGCGUAAAGAGCGUGUAGGCGGCUUGGUAGGUCCGCUGUGAAAACUCGAGGCUCAACCUCGAGAUGUCGGCGGAAACCACUUGGCUAGAGUCCGGAAGAGGAGAGUGGAAUUCCCGGUGUAGCGGUGAAAUGCGCAGAUAUCGGGAAGAACACCUAUGGCGAAGGCAGCUCUCUGGGACGGUACUGACGCUGAGACGCGAAAGCGUGGGGAGCGAACAGGAUUAGAUACCCUGGUAGUCCACGCCGUAAACGAUGGGUGCUAGGUGUGGGCGGUGUCGACUCCGUCCGUGCCGAAGCUAACGCAUU
rnacentral:rRNA from 1 species